AAUCUUACCGCAAUGGACGAAAGUCUGACGGAGCAACGCCGCGUGAACGAUGAAGGCUUUCGGGGUCGUAAAGUUCUGUUGUUAGGGAAGAACAAGUACCGGAGUAACUGCCGGUACCUCGACGGUACCUAACCAGAAAGCCACGGCUAACUACGUGCCAGCAGCCGCGGUAAUACGUAGGUGGCAAGCGUUGUCCGGAAUUAUUGGGCGUAAAGCGCGCGCAGGCGGUUCCUUAAGUCUGAUGUGAAAGCCCCGGCUCAACCGGGGAGGGUCAUUGGAAACUGGGGAACUUGAGUGCAGAAGAGGAGAGCGGAAUUCCACGUGUAGCGGUGAAAUGCGUAGAGAUGUGGAGGAACACCGGUGGCGAAGGCGGCCCCCUCGGACAGAUACUGACACUCAGAUGCGAAAGCGUGGGGAGCAAACAGGAUUAGAUACCCUGGUAG
rnacentral:rRNA from 1 species